rnacentral:siRNA from 1 species
AUUAUAAAUGUUGUGGUUUCGGAC